rnacentral:rRNA from 1 species
GAUUAAGAGAAUUAAGGGCACACGGUGGAUGCCUAGGUAAUAAGAGCCGAUGAAGGACGUGGUAAGCUGCGAUAAGCCUGGAGUAGUUGCAAUCGAACUUUGAUCCCAGGAUUUCCCGAAUGGAGAAAUCUACUAAGAUGAAGUCUUAGUGUGAAAACGGUAACCAGAUGAACUGAAACAUCUAAGUAGUCUCGAGGAAAAGAAAGUAAAAACGAUUCCCUAAGUAGCGGCGAGCGAACGGGGACCAAGUCUAAAUCGCGUAAGUGUCAAGAAUGCAGUCGUUGCUUACGCGAGGUUGUGGGAAGCUUUUUGAAGAACUGCAAGAUAUUCAACGAGUUGUUUCAAAGAAUUAGAAUAAGUUGGAAAACUUAACCAUAGAAGGUGAUAGUCCUGUAUAGGUAAUUUGUAACAAUCGUAAAGCUCUCCCGAGUAGCACGGAACACGAGGAAUUCUGUGUGAAUCAGCGAGGACCAUAUCUCGUAAGACUAAAUACUCU